rfam:Papillibacter cinnamivorans DSM 12816 genome assembly, contig: EJ70DRAFT_scaffold00006.6
CAACUGCGAUGAAACGGGAGAUUGCGGCUUUGAGCCGGUAACUUCCGCGGAGUAUGUCCGAGAAUCGGGCGG